GUGGGCGUAGCUCAGUUGGUAGAGCGCCUGACUGUGGCUCAGGUUGUCGUGGGUUCAAAUCCCAUCGCUCACCCCA
rnacentral:tRNA from 1 species